GGGCCUCCGUGUCCCUUCUACUCCCGCUGUCUGAACCCCGCGAUGUCCCCCGCGCUGUUCGUCCCCUCUUCGUCUCCCUCUUCGAUGUUCCGGGUCCCAGAAACCAGGUUAUCACAGUGGCCCGGAUCAUAGGGAAAUUGCGAAAUCAUCCAGUUGGGAUCACCGAGCCUGCAGGGUCCCCUUCCUGGGCGAGCCUCCUGGCCCCGUGCUAUCGGAGGCCUGGACACCCCCGCCAGGGACCCAGCGACCCAGCAAGUCCCCACCCCCUCUAAGGGCGACCUGGGCCUCGGGGUGAGAGGUCUCCUACACUAAAAAGGCUGCCGCCCUUCAAUCCUAGACCCCGAGAUUCCUUUCACUCGGGAAAUCUCGUAAUGGCAUCCAUUGUCAUUUUGAUCUUUAUGCCGAAUUUCUAGCUCCUGCGUCUCCAUUGCCGGUCCUAAAAGUCGCCGUUUCACUAAGCUUCGGAACCUGACUCCGAGAAAUCUAUUCGUUCGUCCCAAGAUCUCAGCCAGAAAGAGAAAUCCGCGCGGCGGCCUCUUCUAGCUCGGGUGCUGGGAGGCCCCGUCCUGAUCCUCUGUCGCCCUGGCCGAUCUCCCUCAGGGCCACGGGGAAGAGGAACCUGAGCAGCUCUGAGGGGCGAGUCUCUGACGGUGGGGCUCCCCCUCGUCCUGCCAGGACCCUGCCCCAAGGAGAAGACCCCUUAGGACGUUACCAGAUUUAAACAAUGUUUUCUCCUGCUCUUCAGAGCACCUGGGAUAAGGUUCCUGAUGGGUCUUGGGAGCAAACUAACAUGUCGCUCCAGGCGCUCAAGACCAUCCCUCUGAUUUUCAUAUUUUGGGGCUGAGAGCGUUUAAGAAGGACUGAAAAACGCUGCAGUCUUUGAGGGGCUAAGUUUGGAGGAUGCGGGAGUGGGAGAGGAUGCCUUCUUGGCUCCUUGGAGUGGACUGGCAGAGGAAAGGUGCAUCCUGGAGUCUGAAGACACAGGGACACAGAGAAGAGCCUGAACACAGAGGCCUGGCCCCGUUUUCCCCAGUUUGUUACUGUUAGAUCAUACUUUUAUUGUCUUAUCAUACUUCUCCAUGACUAUCCAUUCUUCAAUAAAACUACUCUUAAAAAACAAACAAACAAACAAAAAACUGAGGUUUAGCUGUUUCCAUGGGCCUUCAUUUCCUUUGGAAGGCAUUCCUGUCAUGUAAAACUUACAUUAAAUAAAUACAUCUGCUCUUC
rnacentral:lncRNA from 1 species